AACGCCAAAUGUAACGUUAAAAAUAAUUGUAACAUAGCAAUUGCAUUUAGAAGAAGUUUAUCUUGCCAUACAUAUGUAAAACAUGCAUAUUUAGUCAAAGUUUAUGAUGUGUAUUCCUUGUUAGCUGACGUUAUCUGCCGGAGCUAUUUAUUUCUCCUGACAUUGCAGUAGCAUUUUUUGAACGAUGCAUAAUUGUAAACAGAGAUUUAUGGAUAUAUAUUGCAUAUUAUUGAAAAAAAAAUGAAUGUACUGUGUAACAUGUUAUAUUACUGUCAUCUGAUGAAGAUUUCAAAAGGUUAGUGAAAUUAUUUUUCUUUUAAUCCUGCGUUUGUUGAUUGCAUAUUUUUUCCUACUUGGCUAAGCUAAUGAGGUAUGUAUGCAGUGGUGGUUGGACAUAAAUAUGUGCUAUGUUUUCGCCGUAAAACAUUUUAGAAAUCUGACUUGCUGGGUAGAUAAAUAACUUCUUUAUCUUUCAUUUGAGCCAUUUUUCAAGCGAUUCUGUGGAGGUUAAAUAUUUUUAGGAUUAUUUCUUGCGUUCCCUGCGCCACAUUACAGCUCAGGGAGGGUGGGGUGAGUUCCCAAAGGGGAACUAGUAGCUCUAACAGGUUUUAACACCGGUGGUAAACAAUUCCCCCAAGAUUUCUUGGUGGAGUGGCAUGCCUUAGCGAACCCUUGUUUAAUGGAUUGGUUAGCUCUCUCUAACCCCAUUACUCUGAGGGUGGUAGAUGUUCAAACUUCUGGUCCACUCCCAUCAUUAUGGCUACUUGCUUCACUACAUCACCAGUGAAGUGGGUACCAUUGUCUGCAGAUAAAACCUCAGGAACACCAAAUCUAGGAAUGCUCUCCCUCACUAGUAGCUUUGCUACUGUCUUAGCAUCACAGUGUGUUGUGGGAAAUGCCUCCACCCACCUGGUGAACUUGUCAAUAAGGACUAAACAGUACCUUUUCCUUUCUUUUCUUUCUGCAAGAUCUAUAAAAUCCAUGGUAAGAUGGACAAAUGGUCCUCUUGACGUAGGGAAAUGACCUGGUUUCAGAGGUGCUCCUUUGGCAAUGUUAAAUUGCAUGCACAUAGCACAUCGAAACAGAAACUGUUUCACAUGCUGAGUCAAAUCUGGACAAAUCCAAGGAAAUUGCCUCUAUCAUAUUUGUAUUUAUUUGUAUUUUAUUUCACCUUUAUUUAACCAGGUAGUUAAGUUGAGAACAAGUUCUCAUCUACAAUUGCAACCUGGCCAAGAUAAAGCAAAGCAGUUCGACACAUACAACGACACAGAGUUACACAUGGAGUAAAACAAACAUACAGUCAAUAAUACAGUAAAAAGAAGUCUAUAUACAAUGUGAGCAAAUGAGGUGAGAUAAGGGAGGUAAAGGCAAAACAAAGGCCAUGGUGGCGAAGUAAAUACAAUAUAGCAAGUAAAACACUGGAAUGGUAGAUUUGCAGUGGAAGAAUGUGCAAGGUAGAGAUAGAAAUAAGGGCCUACAUAAAUAAAUAGGGGGAGAGGUAGUUGUUUGGGUUAAAUUAUAGAUGGGCUAUGUACAUGUGCAGUUAUCUGUGAGCUGCUCUGACAGCGGGUGCUUAACGCUGGUGAGGGAGAUAAGUGUUUCCAGUUUCAGAGAUUUUUGUAGUUCGUUCCAGUCAUUGGCAGCAGAGAACUGGAAGGAGUGGCGGCCAAAGGAAGAAUUGGUGUUGGGGGUGACCAGAGAGAUAUACCUGCUGGAGUGCAUGCUACAGAGGACCUGAGCCCUAGGACCAUGCCUCAAGACUACCUGGCCUGACGACUCCUUGCUGUCCCCAGCCCACCUGGUCGUGCUGCUGCUCCAGUUUCAACUGUUCUGCCUGCGGCUAUGGAACCCUGACCUGUUCACCAGACGUGCUACCUGUCCCAGACCUGUUGUUUUCAACUCUCUAGAGACAGCAGAAGUGGUAGAGAUACUCUGAACGAUCGGCUAUGAAAAGCCAACUGACAUUUUACUACUGAGGUGCUGACCUGUUGCACCCUUGACAUCCACUAUAUUAUUGUUAUUGUUUGACCCCGCUGGUCUUCUAUGGACAUUUGAACAUCUUGGCCAUGUUCUGUUAUAAUCUCCACCCGGCAUAGGCAGAAGAGAACUGGCCACCCCUCAUAGCCUGGUUCUUCUCUAGGUUUCUUCCUAGAUUCUGGCCUUUCUAGGGAGUUUUUCCUAGCCACUGUGCUCCUACACCUGCAUUGCUAGCUGUUUGGGGUUUUAGGCUGGGUUUCUGUACAGCACUUUGUGACAUCAGCUGAAGAAAUUGUCCAUAGAGCUCCGAGACAGGAUUGUGUCAGCACACAUCUGGGGAAGGGUACCAAACAAUUUAUGCAGCAUUGAAGGUCCCCAAGAGCACAGUGGCCUCCAUCAUUCUUAAAUGGAAGAAGUUUGGAACCUCCAAGACUCUUCUUAGUGGUGGCUACCUGGCCAAACUGGGGGAGAAGGGCCUGUGGCGGAGACAUCAGAAUGAGUUAAAUAACAUAGAUCAUUAAGAUGUCUUAUCUGCAUAAUAUUCUUAUAUGAUAUGCUUGUUAUUAGAAUGUAUCCCUUCGGACUCUGGUGUUGGCAGUUCCACUUCCUCCCUCAGCUGGGACUCAGUCACCUGGGCCCAGAGAGGGGAGAGGUCAGGCUUGUCUUUCACAUGUCUCUGGUGUUAAGCAGAAUAUCAGAAAGAGAAGAGGAAAGGAGGGAAACAUUGUCUUCAUAUGUGAAUGGGUCUUUACCUAUUCUAAACCAUGUGAGGUUAUGGUGUGAUUAAUGGGAAACCACUUGUCUCCACAAUGUCUGAGCCAGUCACUCCCCCUUGGGGAGAUGAGGUCUGAGAAAAUAUGUGCUGUAUUAUCUGGAACCAUUGUAUGUCAUCUCUGUUGCACCUAUCCUGAGGUAGUGUAUGACCUAGAGGGUCACUCCCCUCAGUGAGCUUGUCAAGAAGGGGUUUAACUUGAGAUGCGAGUAUCUCGAGUUGACAAUUGAUUUAUGCCAUAGAAUGAAUUGGUGUUUCUGUGCUAUGAAGUACCAGGAACGAGAUCGGAGCCUCGUCUUAGGAACUGGGAGACUAGUCAGGCUCAAGGGAAAGAUGAACGGAGCAAAGUACAGGGAGAUCCUUGAUGAAAACCUGCUCCAGAGCGCUUGAGAUCUCCAGACUGGGGCGAAGGUUCACCUUCCAACAGGACAACAACCCUAAGCACACAGCCAAGACAAAGCAGGAGUGGCAUCGAGACAAGUCUCUGAAUGUCCUUGAGUGGGCCAGCCAGAGCCCGGACUUGAACCCAAUCGAACAACUCUGGAGAGACUUGAAAAUAGCUGUGCAGUGACACUCCCCAUCCAACCUGACAGAGCUUGAGAGGAUCUGCAGAGAAGAAUGUGAGAAUCUACCCAAAUACAGGUGUGUCAAGUUUGUAGCGUCAUACCCAAGAAGACUCGAGGCUGUAAUCACUGCCAAAGGUGCUUCAAUAAAGUACUGAGUAAAGGGUCUGACUAAUUAUGUAAAUGUGAUUUCAGUUUUUGCUUUGUCAUUAUUGGGUGUAGAUUGAUGAGAAGAAAAGGGGUCUGAAUACUUUCCGAAUGCACUGUAUCAUCAUCAGCAUUCCUAUUAGCCACGUGCAGAAUGUCAUUCAACUUCAAUGAACCGCGAGUCUCAACUAGCCGCCUGUCCCUUUUAAUAGCCAGGCAACAGCACACAUUUCAGAAAAUAAACGCCUGUUUCAAAUAAAAGCCAGGUCUAAAUGAAUUGUUUAAGGUAACCAUGAAUUGUUUAAUAUUUGUUAUGUUAUGGAAGCUCCUGUUGUGUUCAGUGAUUUAAGCAAAUAAACGCCUGGGCUUUUAAUUGAAGUUUUACGAUAUUUACCUUAUUAAAUCAAUGUCAGUUGCCCAGCAAAGGGCCACCUCCAUUUGGGAUAUUACAACAAGUGUUUUUUCCCCCCUCGGACAUCAUUGCGUGCACGAUAGAUUACCAGAAUAUGUUAGGCAAAUCUUUUUGCACACGCUGACGGACACUCCUCUCCUCUGCUUCAACAACAACAACUAAAACAAUAACAAAGGCAAUGGGGGUGAACAGUGCCACUGUGUUAUUCUAGUUAUUCUAGUGCAGAACCUGUAGUCUUGUGAUAACACCCCAGGCAUAGACACAUAUACACUGAGUAUACAAAACAAUGAGCAUACAAAACAAUGAGCACACCUGCUCUUUCCAUGACAUAGACUGAGCAGGUGAAGCUAUGAUCCCUUAUUGAUGUCACUUAUUAAAUCUGCUUCAAUCCGUGUAAAGGUGGAGGAGACAAGUUAGAGGGAUUUUUUUUAAAGCCUUGAGACAAUUGAGACAUUGAUUCUGUAUGUGUGCCAUUCUGAGGGGUGAAUGAGCAAGACAAAAUAUUGAAGUGCCUUUUGAACAGGGUAUGGUAGUAGGUGCCAGGUGCACCGGUUUGUUCCUAAUGUUUGGUAUACUCUGUGUACACUCCUCUACCCACAGGAGACCAGGGUUUAACUACCCACUCCAACCCUUCAAACCUUAAUCCCACAAACCUGUCUUCCCCUCUGUCAUUUUCAUAACUGUCUCAAUAAAGUGUAAAAAUGCCCCCAGAAUAUAUUUAAAAAACAGGUUGUUUUCUAAUCAAAGCAUGGAUUAACUGUGUAUUUCCCUAUUUAGACAGUAUCUAUUUAGCCUGGGUACCAGUCUGUUUUUGCUAUCAUUCCACUCCUUGAUUUUGGCAUAACAAAGGUUUACCCCGCUGGCACAUAACGUUCUGAAAACAGGUUUCUUAGAGCUUUGUAACAGCGUGGUUGUCCUUUGGUUAUUUUACAACCUUACCACAACUUUCUGGGAAUGGUGCAGGAUAGUUGCUUGGCUUUGGAAUAUUCUCAGUACAUUUAUUAAGGAACUUGACAACAUUUUCAUUUUCUUGGUAUUUCAUUACUUUAACAGAACAUUUCCUAAAAGUUCAAACAUGGUUAUGUUUAAUUUCAAUUUUACUAAUGUUCUAGGAAUGUUCUCCAACUGGUUUGACAUUGGGAGAGUUCUCAAAUCGUUCAGAGAACAUUAAGAAACAACGUUCUUCUGUGGGAAUUAACAUCUGCUAACCAUGUGUAUGUGACAAAUAAAAUUUGAUUUGAUUUGAA